rfam:Picea glauca, whole genome shotgun sequence.
UAUUGGCAAAUGAUGCAACGCAUAGUUCAGCUGAAAAGGCUUGAAUGGAGCCUUGUUGAUUAUUCUUUAAAAUAGUCUUUCGCUCCUAUCUGAUGCCAAUA